rnacentral:lncRNA from 1 species
UAAAUAUUCUUGCACAUUAAUGUUUAUAUCUCAACUCCUUUCAGUUUAAAGUUUUCCACAAAAUCCCAUAGUGGAAUUGUCUCAUUUUCUUACCAAUUCUCAGUUUUCGUGUUUUUUGCCCUUGUCCUCUGGAUCAAAGUUCAGCAUCUGGCAUUUUAAUUCUUUGGAUUCCGUCCCAUCGGCUAUAAACAUCAAAAUGUCAAGCCACCCGUGCUGUGACACUCAGUGAGUUUAUUUUGACAAAGUCGGUUACCUAUAGCAACAUCCAAUCAGCAUUUAGCAGGUUUCUUACUGGGGAGCUCUAGUCGGGAGAUAAGUGUAAAUAUAAAUAUUAUGUGAGGUUUGGACCGUAGUCUGCUCUCACUGUGUGCGUCUGUACGAGCUUCACCAUUUCACCUUCAUUAACAUGGAGUGUCAUGGAUCUAGUCAGAGUGCUAGGACUGGGCGCGUGUGUAGAUGAAAGCGUGCGAAUGAUGUACGUUGUCUAAAUGGAACGUGAAAAAUGACGUAGAGUGACGUCAAAAGAAAUAGUGAGGUAAGAGAGAGGAUCGUUGAGAGGGGAUAUAGAAGCAGAAGGACGUGAGAGGACAUUUUUUUUGGAAGAAGAAGGAGGUUAAAAGAGCGGAUAGAAGACGGAGUGAACAAGGACAACAAAAACAACCUCAACUGGCCGUUGCCAGGGGGCGUGCUAAAGACUGGCUAUAACAGGACUGAGGACGAUGUUUAUGACAUAAGCUAUCCGCCAAUCGUCUCAGCCUGUAGCCUUAUUGCAACUCUAAACACUUGUCACCAUGCGUCAGCUGAUGAUCCUGGCAGCAGCUCUACUCAUCCUGUGUGUAGAGAUGAGUUCUUGUGAUGCAGAGCCUGAUGCAAUAGAAGAAGAAGUUCUACACAAGCCUCACAAGAGAGCCUCUGAUCAAACUACGACUCGUUUGGUAGGUCACAGUGGGUUAGGCGGUGGCGGUGGCUUUGGUAGACGUCUUGCACCCGAUGAGCCACACCCUGUCAUGUAAGCUGCUCAACGAUGGACGACCCACAUCACUGCUUCUGCCUAACCACUCACCGCUACAAAGACAAGCUACAAUCAUCACUUACUACAAACUUGUCUUCUCCUUCUUUUGCUCCUACAAACAUGCGGCCUGACAGAUGACUUGAAGAGACUUGUACUAAAGCUUUGUCUCCUGUACAGACAAACUCUAACCAGAGCUGACACAACUCUCACCUAGUGCUUGUAGUUUAGUAUCAGCCUGUCUUCUGAUGAUAAACCUUCCUGUAGUUCAAGUACUGGCUGCACUGUCAGUCCACAGACAACAGCAGACGAGGGACAAACUUUGUGUUUGGCUGCUGUGAGGCUGAUAACAAGAGACACAUGUACUAUUCUGAAAACUUUAAAUCUUUAGUUUAACCUGUAACCGGCAAAGAGCCUCGUUCUGGGCCACAUUGACCCAGUUCCUCCAGUCUCCGACCUCGCCUGCAACAGAAAAAAAUGAUUCUUCCAGGCAUAGGUCCUUGUAUUUCUCAAUGUUGUCAAAGAUAAAUAUGUUUAUAAAAAUUCCGAAACGCCAAUAAAAAUGCGGUUAUCACGCAUGCGCACGCCAAGUGGGCGGACCUGUAGCCUCGCUUCAAGUAUUGAGAAUAAUUAAACAUUGGGAAUGCGUUUUUCUGACAAACUAA